rnacentral:lncRNA from 1 species
CUUUAAGUAUGAUAUAGUGUCCCUCUUCAUCUCUCACUACAGUCUUUGGGGUAAAUUUUUGUUUAUCUGAUAUAAGGAUGGCUACCCCCGCUUUCUUUUGAGGACCAUUCGAAUGGUAAUGGUUCUCCAACCUUUUAUUUCAGGCUGUAGGUGUCCUUCUGUCUAAAAUGAGUCUCUUGUAGACAGCAAAUAGAUGGGUCCUGCUUUUUUAUCCAGUCUGAAACCCUGCGCCUUUUUAUGGGGUCAUUAAGCCCGUUCACAUUCAGAGUUACAUUGAGAGAUAUGAGUUUAGUGUCAUCAUGAUAUCUAUUAGUCUUUUUUUUUGUGGACUGUUCCACUGAACUUCUUCUUAAAGGGGAAUUUUAAGAGCCCCCUUAAAAUUCUUGCAGAGCUGGUUUGGAGGUCACAUAUUCUUUUAGUUGCUGCCUGUCUUGGAAGCUCUUAUCUCUCUUCCAUUUGAAUGAGAGCCUUGCUGGAUAAAUAUUCUUGGCUGCAUGUUCUUUUUCAUUUAGGACCCUGAAUAUAUCCUGCAGCCCUUCUGGCCUGCCAGGUCUCUGUGGAGAGGUCCUGUGUUACCCUAAUACUCUCCCCAUAAAAGUCAGGGAUUUCUUGUUUUCUUGCUGCUUUAAGGAUCUUCUCCUUAUCUUUGGAAUUUGCAAGCUUCACAAUAAAUGUCGAGGUGUGUUGAACGGUUUUUAUUGAUUUUAGGGGGGAUCUCUCUAUUUCCUGAUCUGAAUGCCUGUUUCCCUUCCGAGAUUAGGAAAGUUUUCAGCUAGAAUUUGUUCAAAUACAUAUUCUGGCCCUCUGUCCCUUUCGGCGCCCUCGGGAACCCCAAUUAAACGUAGGUUUUUCUUCCUCAGGCUGUCGUUUAUUUCCCUUAUCUAUCUUCAUGGUCUUUUAAUUGUUUGUCUCUUUUUUCCUCAGUUUCCCUCUUUGCUAUCAACUUGUCUUCUAUGUCACUCACUCGUUCUUCCACCUCGUUAACCCUCGUCGUUAGGACUUCUAGUUUGGAUUGCAUCUCAUUCAAUUGAUUUUUAAUUUCUGCCUGAUUAGCUCUAAAUUCUGCAGUCAUGAAGUCUCUUGAGUCCUUUAUACUUUUUUCUAGAGCCACCAGUAGCUGUAUAAUAGUGCUUCUGAAUUGGCUUUCUGAAAUUGAAUUGUAAUCCAGAUUUUGUAACUCUGUGGGAGAGAGGACUGUUUCUGAUUCUUUCUUUUGAGGUGAAGUUUCCUUCUAGUCAUUUUGCUCAGUGCAGAGUGGCCAAAAGCAAGUUGUAUUGGGAAAAAGAGA